CCAAAGCAUCGCGAAGGCCCACGGCG
rnacentral:miRNA from 1 species